rnacentral:rRNA from 1 species
ACGAACGCUGGCGGCGUGCUUAACACCUGCAAGUCGAACGGAAAGGCCUCUUUCGGGGGGUACUCGAGUGGCGAACGGGUGAGUAACACGUGAGUAACCUGCCCCUGACUUUGGGAUAACUUCAGGAAACUGGGGCUAAUACCGGAUAGGAGCUCCUGCUGCAUGGUGGGGGUUGGAAAGUUUCGGCGGUUGGGGAUGGACUCGCGGCUUAUCAGCUUGUUGGUGGGGUAGUGGCUUACCAAGGCUUUGACGGGUAGCCGGCCUGAGAGGGUGACCGGCCACAUUGGGACUGAGAUACGGCCCAGACUCCUACGGGAGGCAGCAGUGGGGAAUAUUGCACAAGGGGUGGAAGCCUGAUGCAGCAACGCCGUGUGCGGGAUGACGGCCUUCGGGUUGUAAACCGCUUUCGCUCAUGACGAAGCUUUGUGUGACGGUAGUGGGUAAAGAAGCACCGGCUAACUACGUG